UUGGUUUAAUAGUAACCCACCCUCAUAGUUGUGUGCUAGAGUCUCACUGUGGCUGUAGUUUGCAUUUUCCUAAUAACUAGUGAUGCUGACCAUCUUCCAAUGUGAUGGUAGCCAUUUGCAUAGCAUUCUUAGAUAAAUGUCUGUUCACGCCUUUUGUCCAUUUUUAUUAUGCUAUUUCCUUUUUGUUGUUGAUUAUUCUUGAUAUGAAAUCCUGAUCAGAUCAAUGAUUUGCAAGUAUUUUCUUCCAUUCAGAAAAUUGCCAUUUUACUCUGUCAACAAUAGUAAAAUUUGGGCUGGGAAUAUGGC